rnacentral:lncRNA from 1 species
AUGCAUCCGUCUGCUGUAUCAAGUGGAAUUAGUUGCAGUUGAAGCUCAAGUAGGCUCUUUAUUUUGAUCAGAAUCACCCUAGAACACAUGCAUUAGACUUAAUUUUGUUAAAUUAGGUUACAUGAAGUCUAGCAUAGCCUGUGUUAUCUGCAUAGAGUUUGCAUUUUUAGACAUCGGUGAUCAGUGGCGGAGCCACACCUUGAACAACGGUGUCGCCCGACACCAUUGAAUUUUAUGUAGCAAAUACAACGCAUAAUAGGAAAAAUUUGAGCGACACCAUUGGUUUUUUACGAGCGACACCAUUGUCAUUUUACAAACAACAUCAUUGUUUGUUUUCUUCUAAAAGAAUUAGAUAACAAACAAAUUUAUAGUUCAAAAAUUAAGCCCAGAUACUUGAAUUUAAUUAGUAUACUUUAAAUCAUUAGAGGUACAUGUUUAAUUUUUUUUUCUAAUCUAGUAAGCAUUAUAGGCCCAUGUCUAAUUGGUUUUGUUUCAAUUGUUUAACCUAAUCAGAACCAGAGAUAUACCAGAGAUAUUUGCUGAUCAUCUGAAUGAUGCUUGCACUUGUUUGUUAUCACACCACCUCUAAACUAUAAUAAUUUUUUGAUAAACGAUUUACAUAUACCCUUAAACUUUAAUAGAUUUACCAUAGGUAAGUUUAAUAGUUAUUAUAUUUUUUUAUAAGCGAUUUAUGUUUUGACCCCAAAACUUUAAUAGAGUUAUCAUACGCUCCUUAAAAUUUAAUAAAGUUAAUAAACUUAUUUAUCUCUUUGUUAACAAAUAUAUGUUCUUUUAUCCUUUUUAUAGGUUUAGUUCUUUUUUGUUUUACUUAUUAUAAUUAAAGCUAACUUUUAACUCUACGCAUGGUUAUUUAAUCACGUUGCUUUUUAACCCUUCAAUAUAAAAUAUACAAGAUAACAAAUAUUAUCAUUUUUUUAUUUACCUUAUUAUUGUUAAAUGGAACUUGUAACUCUAAAUUGUUUACUUAAUUGUGUUGAUUGCUUAAUUUUACCAUCAUGAAAUAUAUACAUCCUCCCCAUCAACCUCUACGACCUCGCCACAAAGCAUGGGCAGAAUCUUCACCAUCAACCUCCUACGACCCGCCGGGAAGCGCAUACUCGAAUACUAGUUGAAAACAUUAUGAAUCGUUUUCAAAACAUGAAAAUGCGUACAGAGCAACUAUUAAAUGAAAAUUUUAAUAUAUUUCAAAUGACUUUGUAAUUUUAUUAUGUGUUUUUGUUCAUUGAUAUUGUACUUUUACUGUGGUAUUUGCUUUUAUUAUGUGAUUCGACCCGACUAGAUCCGAACCGAUCUAAAAAGUUCGACUCUGAGUUACUAUAAACCGGGGUAUCCAUAAAAAAUGACACCAUAAGAAAAAGUUUCUGGCUCCGCCACUGUCGGUGACUACAGUGUCGGUUAAUGAUGUUAUUCAACGAAACAAACGUUGGUGACGACCCGGUAAUUAUUCUAAUAUAUUUUAAUAAAAAAUAUCAUUUAUAGGCAAAUAAAUAUAUGUUCAAAUUAAGAUGUACUAUUGUAUAUUAAAACAAUUAAUUUGUGGUUGAACACUUGUCAUAUAUAGAGGAUUACAUAAGAGUUUGGACGAGGGCACUUCAUUUCAGUAAGUAAAGAACUACGAGAAUUACAGAACCCUCUUAGCUAUGAAAAACACUAAGAUGAAUAUUUGGUGGUUAUGAAAAACAGUAAGUAUAAAUGUAUCAUAUCAUUUUCUUACGUUUCUCUACUUAUAGUUAUUUGUGUAUUGAACGCACACUCAAUUUAAACACUCCUUGAAACUUGUAUCUUUUAAUCUUUUAUUUUAAUUGUUGUAUAAGUU